CCACACCAACGUUACGCACAACAGGUGCAUUGUGGGUCCAAAUUAGCCAACAUGCUAAUCGCUAAAUGCUCUCAUAAAAGACGUGUCGCUGUUUGUUUGUAGACUUUAGGCCCAGACAGCUUCAAUGGAGCUUGUCAGCUACACAGAGUCCACUGUGUUGCACAGCCAUGUUUCUACGGCAGCCCGGGAUGGACAAACCAGACUAUGGCUCUAUGGAGAACCUUCAGCGGGUUCAGGUGUACGCUGCUCCAUCUGCGUCUGCCGCUGAUGAAUAAAGCCAUGAAAUAGAUCCAGCUGGAGAUGUGCUGAGGAGACCGAGGCCUCCUGGGAAAUCAUCCAUACCUCCACCGGCCCUGUGUCCACUUCCCCAGCACCCCAGAGAGCUAUCAAUAAAAAACAACAAGCGAUAAACCGACUGCGCGCUACCAGCUUCAAACGGCAGACCAGCCUCCAGCUGUGGAACAUUCAGUUUUCUUGGUGGAGACCAAAACGCAGCGCUGCAGGAUCGCGACGCUGUCACAACACGUUAGCGCCGGCCGUCGGGACUUUGAGGGUGAAGGUCCCGAGCGAGUCCACUCGGAUCUCUGGAGGAACAGAGGGAAAGCCUCUCCGCGGGAGACCACGACCAGUCCGUCUUUAUGUCUGCCCAUGAGAAUAAAAAAAAAAAAAAAAAAAGACAAUUAGGGGCUUAUUAGGGUUUCGGGGGAUGAGACGUGGCUCACGGGGGCGUCCGCUCGCCAUCUCGGGCCCCGGCUCCGAGCCGCUGCCACGGCUCAAAACAGUCAGGGGCAUUGUCUCACCUAAUUACGCUGAAACCAGAGGCCCCCUUUUUUUUGUGUUGGUACCGCCAUGCCUGUCCGGUUCCCUUCUCCUGGCUAACUGCUUGUCCCUGUCCACCGGGGAAGUGUGCUAAUUAGACCAGAAAUGGGCCCGAGUAAUUAUGUCGAUUCUCGUUACGAGUGGCCGCGAUGAGGAAUAUUAUUUUGUCAGGAAAGGUUUCAGGGUUUUGGGAGUCUCAUUACGGCAAUGACACAUCUGCACACGGAACGGGGGGGGGGGGCGGCACACUCGGCAAGUCGGAGACCCCGGCAAACUUCAGAGCACAAAUAGAUGCACUCAUACAGAAAUGGAGACUAUAGAACGGCAAUGGCACGAAGUUAUUGCCCUAAUUAAUGGUUUGUGCCCAGCGAGCAAACUGUUGAAUCACCGGCGGCACAUUGUUAGGCUUGUGAGAGGCUUUUGUUUCUUCACCCUAAUAGGAUGUUUUGAUAAACCGGCUCUUUGGUGACACAGCUCCUCCUCUUAAACGUCGAGCGCUGGGAAACGGCAAUUAGCUAGAUUAGAAGAGCCGUUUGUGGCGCCUCCAACAAACACAAAGAUGGAUGAGUCAGAGCUGCAGAAGCUCCCGAACUUCUAAAUGUGUCUUUGUGCUGCGUUGAAAGGAUUUCAGCUUCCGAUCGUUACGUUCGACACUAAUCUGUGCGUUCGAUAAAUUCACUUUAUUUUAAUGUCAGUGACAGUUUUGGUGGGAAGUUGUUUGAUUGAAAUGAGGUCGGAAAAAACCCCUUCAGAUGCAAUAAAAAUGAUUUGAAGUGAGAUGAAAAAGGAGUGAAAACGUUAUCUAAUCGGGUCAAAUGGAUGUUGACAAACUGCAUUAGUCAAAGACGUAUUGCAGCCUAAAGAGACUGCAAAGUGGUUUCAUGUACAUUUAAGAAAAUCUGAAUUCAAAGUAAUCCAACUGUUUGCACAGUUACAAGUUAGAAGGUCAAAUGUGUACAUUGUACAUUGAAAAUGUUUUCCAACCAAACUCUCAAAUGAUCUACUUUUCCUGAAUCCGAUGAUCAUCACAUCCCCGCUUCUCUUUGUGUUCAGUGCUGAUUUCCCUUUUUUUUAUGAUUAAAUAUGUUUGUAAAGGAAGAAAAUGGAAAUCAAUCUUGAAUGAGUUUUUUGAGAAGCUUCAAAUGUGUCCACGAGCAGUGAGAUGCUCAGGAUGCAGAACGAUGCUGCAUCUGAGAUGAUGUGUGUGUGUGUGUGUGUGAGAAACCUCAUUAGCAUAGCCGCUGGUAUGGCAUUGAUCUCUUCAUUCACCUCUAAUGAAAUGUCUCCCUAAUAGCUUCUAGAGGCUGAAGGUAAUUUAGGCCGCUUUGCUCCCCUCUCUCCCUCUCGAGUUCUUUGUAACAUCAAGGGCACAUUAUUUGUAUUUAUUUAUUUUUGUAACACAUUAAAUACGUCUUAUUUUUUUUCUACUCAAUUAUUACACCGCCUGAGGCAAAUACCAGCAAAAUAAAUAUUAAAGCAACGUCAAACCAAAUAGCCCAACAGAUGAUCUGUAUUCAUAAUACAGCAUUUUGUAUUUUAUGCCCCCUCCCCUCCCCUCCCACCUCUUGCACGGAGAUGCAGCGCCGUGAUACACGAAGCAACAUAAAGCCCCAUAAUUGACUUGACCGGGUGAAGCCGCAUCUCUUGAUCACAUCUCGGAUUACAAACAGGCACUAAAUCUGUUGUGGGUUCGGCCCUCGCGACAGCCUGACGCAAACAGUCCCGCCGGAACCACCUCUUUUUUUCAUUUAUGCAUUCAUCGCCACAUGUCCCCCCCCCAUUGGUGAGGACAGUAUCUGCGCUUCCAUCGCGCGCGCGUCCUCUCAUCUCCAUAAACUCUCCCCGGUCGUCAUUAUCCGUCCAGAUGUCCAAAGUGUGCCGCACAUUAUCUCCGAACCACUGCAACUCCACAGUAAUUGAAUAACAGCUGAUUAGGGCGGAUUAGGUGUCGCGGAAAGGGAGAGAAAAUGAGAGUAUUUUCACUUGAUUUCCCAUUUCAGCGGGUUUGAAUCGGAGCAUGAGGUUCUAAAUAGUGUGAUAAAUGAGUGUGAAGGGGACGGGUGAUUUCCCCUGACAUCCGACGUGUCUUUGCUCCUAAAACGCUCAAAAUGUUGGUUGACUUUUCUGUUUUUUUUUGUUGCAGUUCUUUUUGUCGUUGCUCGAUGACAGAGAAAUGGGAGGUAAAUAAGUCUGUUGCGUGGUGCUCCGGCGUUGUUUGUCUCGUUUUUAAUUGCCACCCCGGUGUGUCCUAAAUACCCCGAGCUGGGAGACUGUUUUCUUUUUCAUGUGACCCGUCAGAGAAUGAAAACGCUUAAUAAUUUAUCAACAGAUGCGCAGACUGCCACUAAAGACAAAACGUUCGCUGCGUAAACCUAAUUAGAAUAUGCAAAUCCCAGGGUGGGUUAUAUGGGACGUUUGGGGGGCCAGG